rnacentral:rRNA from 1 species
CUACGGGGGGCAGCAGUGGGGAAUAUUGCACAAUGGGGGAAACCCUGAUGCAGCGACGCCGCGUGAGUGAAGAAGUAUUUCGGUAUGUAAAGCUCUAUCAGCAGGGAAGAAAAUGACGGUACCUGACUAAGAAGCCCCGGCUAACUACGUGCCAGCAGCCGCGGUAAUACGUAGGGGGCAAGCGUUAUCCGGAUUUACUGGGUGUAAAGGGGGCGUAGACGGUGAGACAAGUCUGAAGUGAAAUCCCGGGGCUCAACCCCGGAACUGCUUUGGAAACUGCCUGACUAGAGUGCAGGAGAGGUAAGUGGAAUUCCUAGUGUAGCGGUGAAAUGCGUAGAUAUUAGGAGGAACACCAGUGGCGAAGGCGGCUUACUGGACUGUAACUGACGUUGAGGCUCGAAAGCGUGGGGAGCAAACAGGAUUAGAUACCCCCGUAGUC